rnacentral:lncRNA from 10 species
UGCCAGGAUGCUUUUAGCCUUAGGUUUAGGAAGUCAGGGCUCAGGGAAGGGGGGCAGCAGUGGUGUUUGCAAACACCUUCUCGAAGACAGCAUCACAGCUGCUUGUCAGGGCGUUUCCCUGGUGGCAUCCUAGGUGCUUCUGUUCUGCCAUCAGCACACCUUGGGUUCUCCUCCUAGUCACCUAUCCACAGUAGACAUCUCAUCUGGAGAUGGCAGCAUGGAGUAGUGGUUAAGCCCGUGGACUUUGGAAUCAGGUUUUCUGCGCUCAAGUCUUGUCACUGCGAUCUACUAGCUGUGUGACCUUGGAUGCCAGACACUGUCCUGAGCACUAUCCAUGUGUCAUCACUUAAUCUUCACGGCAGCUUAUGAGGUAGGUACUAUUAUGAUCCCCAAUUUUGGUGAUGGGAAACUGAGGCAGAGAGCUGUUAGUAACAUUUAAAGUCACACAGCUAAUAAAUGGCAGAACUGGGAUAUGAACCCAG